rnacentral:miRNA from 1 species
GAGGUGGGAGGAUCUCUUGAGCCCAGGAAUUUGAGGCUGUAGUGAACUGUGAUUACCCCACUGCACUCCAGCCUGAGUGACAGAGUAAGACCCUAUCUC